AGACCGCUGGGCGGUUCUUGCCGGAAGUGGAGAGCGGCUGAUCGCAGUCCGGAGGUGAGGCGGAACUCUUAAGGUGAGGGUUGGUGGUUGGAUAAGGAUUGGGAUGGUCUUUGGGGCCCACCGGGUCCUGGCCGUUAGUAAAGGCUGUGCUAGCCUACGCGCGUUUGAGGAGUCUUGCUGAAAGGCCGGGGUUUGGGCCCUUCGGCCAUCCCGGGCUCCUGGGUGCGGUCUCUUGAGGUGGGGCUGGGGUACCAGAUUGAACCAGGAGGUCUUGGGGAAGCCACUUUCUCCUUGAUUUCGCAGCUCUGCCUAUCAGCCUCCGCGGAGGCCUGAUUCCUAAAGGCAUCCUAACCAACUGAAUGGACCCUGGGAGACCUUAGAAUUUCCUCCUGACCGGGUCUUGUUCCCAUUACUCGGAUGGGUAACUUGAUCUCGGAGAAGAAAAGAAUCUGGUUUUAGAGAGAGGUUUCCAGUCCUAGAUCCUUCCUUUCCUUGGAACCUCUCUAACUUUCGAUCUGGGCAGCUGCAGGUUAAAGGCUAUCUGGUAGU
rnacentral:lncRNA from 1 species